ensembl:lncRNA
AAUAAGCCACCACCCAAAACUUGAUGGCUUGAAAGUACAUUUUAUCAUUUCUCAUAAUUCUGCAAUCUGAGCUGAGUUCAGCUAGGUGGUUCUUCUGUUCAUGGAGUAUCUACUGGGAUUAGGACAUCCAAGAAAACUUCUUAACCCCCAGCUUUGGUGCCUUGGCUGAGAUAAAUGGAAGAGCUGGGCCAUUCUCUCUCUUUCUCUGGCCUCUUCAGGUGGCUUCCUCACAGUAUGAUGACAUCAGAGUACAUGGCAGAUGGCUUCCAACUGGGAGGAAGAAGAAGCUUCCAGUGCAUAUAGGGUCUGGGUUCAGAACUACCAGAACAUUAUUUCUACUGCACUCUGUUGAUCAAAGCAAGUCACAAGACCAGCCCUUCAGGGAAAGGAAGCACUUUCUACUUCUUGAUAGAAGGAGCACUUUGCACACACAGGGAGAGAUGAAUUAACAAUGGUCCUCUUUGGAGACUACCUACCCCAGAGGAUGGUCCUGCUACUAGCUCAGCUCAGUGUGUGUCCUGGCUUCAGCUUCCCUCCUAAGCACCUGACUGCUGGCAGGUUACUGUGACUCAUGGCCAUUAUAUCUGCUGGGCUUGUACUUCCGGCAUCUUAUUGGCGUGGGCAUCUCCCAG